rnacentral:rRNA from 1 species
CAAUAGACGAGUGGCGGACGGGUGAGUAACGCGUGGGAACCUGCCCUUGAGUGCGGGAUAACCGAGGGAAACUUCGGCUAAUACCGCAUGCGCCCCCAGCGAUGGGGGGAAAGAUUUAUCGCUCGAGGAGGGGCCCGCGUCGGAUUAGCUAGUUGGUGGGGUAACGGCCUACCAAGGCGAUGAUCCGUAGCUGGUCUGAGAGGAUGAUCAGCCACACUGGGACUGAGACACGGCCCAGACUCCUGCGGGAGGCAGCAGUAGGGAAUAUUGGACAAUGGGGGCAACCCUGAUCCAGCAAUGCCGCGUGAGUGAUGAAGGCCUUAGGGUUGUAAAGCUCUUUCGCGCGCGACGAUGAUGACGGUAGCGCGAGAAGAAGCCCCGGCUAACUUCGUGCCAGCAGCCGCGGUAAUACGAAGGGGGCGAGCGUUGUUCGGAAUUACUGGGCGUAAAGGGCGCGCAGGCGGCCGAUCAAGUCAGGCGUGAAAGCCCCGGGCUUAACCUGGGAAUUGCGCUUGGGACUGGUUGGCUUGAGUUCGGGAGAGGAGAGUGGAAUUCCCAGUGUAGAGGUGAAAUUCGUAGAUAUUGGAAGAACACCGGUGGCGAAGGCGGCUCUCUGGACCGAUACUGACGCUGAGGCGCGAAAGCGUGGGGAGCAAACAGGAUUAGAUACCCUGGUAGUCCACGCUGUAAACGAUGUGCGCUAGACGUUGGAGGGCGUAGCCUUCCGGUGUCGCAGCUAACGCUUUAAGCGCACCGCCUGGGGAGUACGGCCGCAAGGUUAAAACUCAAAGGAAUUGACGGGGGCCCGCACAAGCGGUGGAGCAUGUGGUUCAAUUCGACGC